AGCGAGGUAGGGUAGCCAGGAUAUCCCGUCGGGCUCAUAACCCGGAGACCAGUCGUUCAAAUCGAUUCCUCGCUACCA
rnacentral:tRNA from 1 species